rnacentral:rRNA from 1 species
UACGUAGGGCGCAAGCGUUAUCCGGAAUUACUGGGCGUAAAGCGUGCGUAGACGGUUAUUUAAGUCAGGUGUGAAAGCCCCGGGCUCAACCUGGGAAUUGCAUUUGAGACUGAAUAGCUAGAGUGCGGAAGAGGGAAGCGGAAUUUCCGGUGUAGCGGUGAAAUGCGUAGAUAUCGGAAGGAACACCAGUGGCGAAAGCGGCUUCCUGGUCCAGCACCGACGUUCAGGCACGAAAGCGUGGGGAGCAAACAGG